rnacentral:rRNA from 1 species
AUUGAACGCUGGCGGCAGGCCUAACACAUGCAAGUCGAACGAGUGGCGGACGGGUGAGUAAUGUCUGGGAAACUGCCUGAUGGAGGGGGAUAACUACUGGAAACGGUAGCUAAUACCGCAUACCAUCAGAUGUGCCCAGAUGGGAUUAGCUUGUUGGUGGGGUAAAGGCUCACCAAGGCGACGAUCCCUCGCUGGUCUGCGAGGAUGACCUGCCACACUGGAACUGAGACACGGUCCAGACUCCUACGGGAGGCAGCAGUGGGGAAUAUUGCACAAUGGGCGAAAGCCUGACGCAGCCAUGCCGCGUGUAUGAAGAAGGUCUUCGGGUUGUAAAGCACUUUCAUCGGGGAGGCGUUACCCGCAGAAGAAGCACCGGCUAACUACGUGCCAGCAGCCGCGGUAAUUC